rnacentral:lncRNA from 10 species
UGCUUAUUGUGUACCAGUAUCUGUUCUAUGUUCUUUCCACCCAUUAACUCAUUUAAUCCUUACAACAAUUCCAAUAAGUACUUUCCAUUAUUAUUCCAUUAUCCAUAUUUUACAGACAGAAUAAAGGAGGCACAGAGAAGUUAUACAAAUUGUCCUGGCACAAAAAACUGAUAAGACUUAAGCCCAGGAGUACUGGCCCAAGAAGAUAUUAGACUAUGGAAAUGAUGUUGGAGAAAAAGCAAAUUUGAGCGAUUUUCUUAUUUGAGUUCAAAAUGGGUCUUAAAGCAGUGGGGACAACUGGCAACAUAACAAUGCAUUUGGCCUGGGAACUGCUAACCAACUCUUAGUUCAAUGGCGGUUCAAGAAGUUUUGC